rnacentral:rRNA from 1 species
AUUGAACGCUGGCGGCAGGCUUAACACAUGCAAGUCGAGCGGGGUGAUGGUGCUUGCACUAUCACUUAGCGGCGGACGGGUGAGUAAUGCUUAGGAAUCUGCCUAUUAGUGGGGGACAACAUCUCGAAAGGGAUGCUAAUACCGCAUACGUCCUACGGGAGAAAGCAGGGGAUCACUUGUGACCUUGCGCUAAUAGAUGAGCCUAAGUCGGAUUAGCUAGUUGGUGGGGUAAAGGCCUACCAAGGCGACGAUCUGUAGCGGGUCUGAGAGGAUGAUCCGCCACACUGGGACUGGGACACGGCCCAGAGUCCUACGGGAGGAAGCAGUGGGGAAUAUUGGACAAUGGGGGGAACCCUGAUCCAGCCAUGCCGCGUGUGUGAAGAAGGCCUUAUGGUUGUAAAGCACUUUAAGCGAGGAGGAGGCUCUUUUGGUUAAUACCCAAGAUGAGUGGACGUUACUCGCAGAAUAAGCACCGGCUAACUCUGUGCCAGCCGCCGCCGUAA